rnacentral:rRNA from 1 species
GACGAACGCUGGCGGCGUGCUUAACACAUGCAAGUCGAACGGAAAGGCCCUGCUUUUGUGGGGUGCUCUAGUGGCGAACGGGUGAGUAACACGUGAGUAACCUGCCCUUUACUUUGGGAUAACUUCAGGAAACUGGGGCUAAUACCGGAUCGGAGCUCCUUCUGCAUGGUGGGGGUUGGAAAGUUUCGGCGGUUGGUGAUAGACUCGCGGCUUAUCAGCUUGUUGGUGGGGUAGUGGCUUACCAAGGCUUUGACGGGUAGCCGGCCUGAGAGGGUGACCGGCCACAUUGGGACUGAGAUACGGCGCAGAGUCCUACGGGAGGCAGCAGUGGGGAAUAUUGCUCAAUGGGCGGAAGCCUGAUGCAGCAACGCCGCGUGCGGGAUGACGGCCUUCGGGUUGUAAACCGCUUUCGCCUGUGACGAAGCGUGAGUGGCGGUAAUGGGUAAAGAAGCACCGGCUAACUACGUG